rnacentral:rRNA from 1 species
CCACGCCCUAAACUAUGUCAACUGGUUGUCGGGGAAGCAAUUCCUUGGUAACGAAGCUAACGCGUGAAGUUGACCGCCUGGGGAGUACGGCCGCAAGGUUAAAACUCAAAGGAAUUGACGGGGACCCGCACAAGCGGUGGAUUAUGUGGAUUAAUUCGAUGCAACGCGAAAAACCUUACCUACCCUUGACAUGCCAGGAACCUCGCAGAGAUGUGAGGGUGCCCGAAAGGGAACCUGGACACAGGUGCUGCAUGGCUGU